rnacentral:rRNA from 1 species
AGGGUGUAAACGCUGCAGACUUGGUGUUGGAAGCCCUUUGGGGGCAUUCAGUGCCGGAGAGAAGUUGUUAAGUCUGCUACUUGGGGAGUACGUCCGCAAGGAUGAAGCUUAAAGGAAUUGGGCGGGGGAGCACCGCAACGGGAGGAGCGUGCGGUUUAAUUGGAUUCAACACCGUAAAACUCACCAGGGGAGACUGUUACAUGAAACCCAGACUAAUGAUCUUGGUUGAUUUUUCAGAGAGGAGGUGCAUGGCGUCAGUGACU